rnacentral:rRNA from 1 species
UACGAAGGGGGCUAGCGUUGCUCGGAAUGACUGGGCGUAAAGAGCUCGUAGGCGGCCUGUUACGUCUGCUGUGAAAUCCCGGGGCUUAACCCCGGGCGUGCAGUGGAUACGGGCAGGCUGGAGGCAGGCAGGGGAGAACGGAAUUCCCGGUGUAGCGGUGAAAUGCGCAGAUAUCGGGAGGAACACCGGUGGCGAAGGCGGUUCUCUGGGCCUGUACUGACGCUGAGGAGCGAAAGCGUGGGGAGCGAACAGG